rnacentral:tRNA from 1 species
GGGGCUGGGGCUCAGCAGUAGAGCGCUCACCUAGCACGUGUGAGGACCUGGGUUCAAUCCUCAGCACCA